UACAGAGGUCUCAAGCGUUGUUCGGAUUCAUUGGGCGUAAAGGGUGCGUAGGCGGCGCGGUAAGUCGGGUGUGAAAUCUUGGAGCUUAACUCCGAAACUGCAUUCGAUACUGCCGUGCUUGAGGACUGGAGAGGAGACUGGAAUUUACGGUGUAGCGGUGAAAUGCGUAGAUAUCGUAAGGAAGACCAGUGGCGAAGGCGGGUCUCUGGACAGUUCCUGACGCUGAGGUGCGAAAGCGUGGGGAGCAAACAGG
rnacentral:rRNA from 1 species